rnacentral:rRNA from 1 species
GUUGUAUGGUUAAGUGACUAAGCGUACACGGUGGAUGCCUUGGCAGUCAGAGGCGAUGAAAGACGUAGUAACUUGCGAUAAGCCCAGAUUAGGUAGUAACAACCAUUUGAGUCUGGGAUUUCUGAAUGGGGAAACCCACGUGCAUAAGCACGUAUCCUUACCUGAAUACAUAGGGUAAGGAGGCGAACCGGGGGAACUGAAACAUCUAAGUACCCCGAGGAAAAGAAAUCAACCGAGAUUCCGAAAGUAGCGGCGAGCGAAAUUGGACUAGCCCUUAAGCUUUACACGCGUUAGACGAACGGUCUGGAAAGUCCGACGAUACAGGGUGAUAGUCCCGUAGUUGACGACGUGUGUUCAGUGAAAUCGAGUAGGGCGGGACACGUGAUAUCCUGUCUGAAUAUGGGGGGACCAUCCUCCAAGGCUAAAUACUACUGACUGACCGAUAGUGAACCAGUACCGUGAGGGAAAGGCGAAAAGAACCCCUGUGAGGGGAGUGAAAUAGAACCUGAAACCGUGUACGUACAAGCAGUAGGAGCAGGCUUUGUCCUGUGACUGCGUACCUUUUGUAUAAUGGGUCAGCGACUUAUAUUCAGUGGCAAGGUUAACCAUCUAGGGGAGCCGUAGGGAAACCGAGUCUUAACUGGGCGUUCAGUCUCUGGAUAUAGACCCGAAACCAGGUGAUCUAGCCAUGGGCAGGUUGAAGGUUGAGUAACAUCAACUGGAGGACCGAACCGACUAAUGUUGAAAAAUUAGCGGAUGACUUGUGGCUAGGGGUGAAAGGCCAAUCAAACCUGGAGAUAGCUGGUUCUCCCCGAAAGCUAUUUAGGUAGCGCCUCGGACGAAUACUACUGGGGGUAGAGCACUGUUAAGGCUAGGGGGUCAUCCCGACUUACCAACCCUUUGCAAACUCCGAAUACCAGUAAGUACUAUCCGGGAGACACACGGCGGGUGCUAACGUCCGUCGUGGAGAGGGAAACAACCCAGACCGCCAGCUAAGGUCCCAAAUUACUACUAAGUGGGAAACGAUGUGGGAAGGCUCAGACAGCCAGGAUGUUGGCUUAGAAGCAGCCAUCAUUUAAAGAAAGCGUAAUAGCUCACUGGUCGAGUCGGCCUGCGCGGAAGAUGUAACGGGGCUAAGUAGUAAACCGAAGCUGCGGCAAUAUACUUUUGUAUAUUGGGUAGGGGAGCGUUCUGUAAGCGGUUGAAGGUGUGUGGUAACGCAUGCUGGACGUAUCAGAAGUGCGAAUGCUGACAUGAGUAACGAUAAAGGGGGUGAAAAACCUCCUCGCCGGAAGACCAAGGGUUCCUGUCCAACGUUAAUCGGGCAGGGUAAGUCGACCCCUAAGGCGAGGCCGAAAGGCGUAGUCGAUGGGAAACGGGUUAAUAUUCCCGUACUUCUUACAAUUGCGAUGGGGGGACGGAGAAGGCUAGGUGGGCCUGGCGACGGUUGUCCAGGUUCAAGUGCGUAGGCUUAAGAGUUAGGUAAAUCCGGCUCUUUCUAAGGCUGAGACACGACGUCGAGCACCUACGGGUGUGAAGUCAUUGAUGCCAUGCUUCCAGGAAAAGCCUCUAAGCUUCAGAUUGUAAGGAAUCGUACCCCAAACCGACACAGGUGGUCGGGUAGAGAAUACCAAGGCGCUUGAGAGAACUCGGGUGAAGGAACUAGGCAAAAUGGUACCGUAACUUCGGGAGAAGGUACGCUCUUGAUGGUGAAGUCCCUUGCGGAUGGAGCUGACGAGAGUCGCAGAUACCAGGUGGCUGCAACUGUUUAUUAAAAACACAGCACUGUGCAAAAUCGUAAGAUGACGUAUACGGUGUGACGCCUGCCCGGUGCCGGAAGGUUAAUUGAUGGGGUUAGACUUCGGUCGAAGCUCUUGAUCGAAGCCCCGGUAAACGGCGGCCGUAACUAUAACGGUCCUAAGGUAGCGAAAUUCCUUGUCGGGUAAGUUCCGACCUGCACGAAUGGCGUAAUGAUGGCCACGCUGUCUCCACCCGAGACUCAGUGAAAUUGAAAUCGCUGUGAAGAUGCAGUGUACCCGCGGCUAGACGGAAAGACCCCGUGAACCUUUACUACAGCUUGGCACUGAACAUUGACCCUACAUGUGUAGGAUAGGUGGGAGGCUUUGAAGCACGUACGCCAGUAUGUGUGGAGCCGUCCUUGAAAUACCACCCUUGUAGUGUUGAUGUUCUAACGUCGACCCCUUAUCGGGGUUGCGGACAGUGCCUGGUGGGUAGUUUGACUGGGGCGGUCUCCUCCCAAAGAGUAACGGAGGAGCACGAAGGUGGGCUAAUCACGGUUGGACAUCGUGAGGUUAGUGCAAUGGCAUAAGCCCGCUUGACUGCGAGAAUGACAAUUCGAGCAGGUGCGAAAGCAGGUCAUAGUGAUCCGGUGGUUCUGAAUGGAAGGGCCAUCGCUCAACGGAUAAAAGGUACUCCGGGGAUAACAGGCUGAUACCGCCCAAGAGUUCAUAUCGACGGCGGUGUUUGGCACCUCGAUGUCGGCUCAUCACAUCCUGGGGCUGAAGUCGGUCCCAAGGGUAUGGCUGUUCGCCAUUUAAAGUGGUACGCGAGCUGGGUUUAGAACGUCGUGAGACAGUUCGGUCCCUAUCUGCCGUGGGCGUUGGAAGAUUGAAGGGGGCUGCUCCUAGUACGAGAGGACCGGAGUGGACGAACCUCUGGUGUUCGGGUUGUGUCGCCAGACGCAUUGCCCGGUAGCUAAGUUCGGAAUCGAUAACCGCUGAAAGCAUCUAAGCGGGAAGCGAGCCCUGAGAUGAGUCUUCCCUGAUACUUUAAGUAUCCUAAAGGGUUGUCGGAGACUACGACGUUGAUAGGUCAGGUGUGUAAGUGCUGUGAGGCAUUGAGCUAACUGAUACUAAUUGCCCGUGAGGCUUAACCAUACAACACCCAAGGGGUUU